CUGUGCUAUGGAUCUGGGUCUGAACUACCAUGGGAAUGUGAGUGUCACCCAUACCGGCAUCGAGUGUCAGCUGUGGCGAAGCCGCUACCCACACAGGCCUGACAUCAACUCCACCACCCAUCCUGGGGCUGACCUGAAGGAGAACUUCUGCCGAAAUCCAGACAGCAGCACCUCAGGGCCCUGGUGCUACACCACAGACCCUACUGUGCGCAGAGAGGAAUGCAGUAUCCCUGUCUGUGGUGAGCUGGG
rnacentral:lncRNA from 1 species